rnacentral:rRNA from 1 species
CCUACGGGAGGCUGCAGUGGGGAAUAUUGCACAAUGGGGGAAACCCUGAUGCAGCAACGCCGCGUGAGUGAGGAAGUAUUUCGGUAUGUAAAGCUCUAUCAGAAGGGAAUAGAAAAGAAGGUACCUGAAAAAGAAGCCCCGGCUAACUCCGUGCCAGCAGCCGCGGUAAUACGGAGGAUGCGAGCGUUAUCCGGAUUUAUUGGGUUUAAAGGGUGCGCAGGCGGGAGAGCAAGUCAGCGGUAAAAUGUCGGGGCUCAACCCCGGCCGGCCGGUGAAAAUGGUUUUCUAGAGUUGGUGAGAGGUAUGCGGAAUUCGUGGUGUAGCGGUGAAAUGCAUAGAUAUCACGAAGAACUCCGAUUGCGAAGGCAGCAUACCGGCUCCAUACUGACGCUGAGGCACGAAAGCGUGGGGAUCGAACAGGAUUAGAUACCCCGGUAGUC